rnacentral:rRNA from 1 species
UCGAGCGGACCGAAUGGAAGCUUGCUUUCAUUCGGUUAGCGGCGGACGGGUGAGUAACACGUGGGUAACCUGCCCGUAAGACCGGGAUAACUUCGGGAAACCGGAGCUAAUACCGGAUAACACCGAAAACCGCAUGGUUUCGGUUGAAAGGCGGCUUCUAGCUGUCACUGCAGGAUGGGCCCGCGGCGCAUUAGCUAGUUGGUGAGGUAACGGCUCACCAAGGCGACGAUGCGUAGCCGACCUGAGAGGGUGACCGGCCACACUGGGACUGAGACACGGCCCAGGCUCC